rnacentral:rRNA from 1 species
UACGAAGGGGGCUAGCGUUGCUCGGAAUCACUGGGCGUAAAGCGCACGUAGGUGGCUUGUUAAGUCAGACGUGAAAUCCCUCGGCUCAACCGGGGAACUGCGUCUGAGACUGAUGAGCUCGAGUGCAGGAGAGGAACGCGGAAUUCCAGGUGUAGCGGUGAAAUGCGUAGAUAUCUGGAGGAACACCGGUGGCGAAGGCGGCGUUCUGGACUGCAACUGACACUGAGGAACGAAAGCCAGGGGAGCAAACGGG